rnacentral:antisense_RNA from 1 species
CACAUGCUUUUCAUCACCCGCUCUCACAUCCCAUCUGGGGCCUCUGCUUCCAUCCUACCAUUUCGCAAGCCUGGCCAACUCAAGCUCCGUGUGCUGCACCUAGAGCAGCCCAUCUCUGUGUCAGGGAGGUGAGCUGCUCAGUUGCCAGAGUAUCAACCUGAGCCCAGGACACUGCCAGGCUGCUGAGUCAAAGAGGGUUUAGCAGCCCAUUUUCAUAGACAGACAGGUGAGAGGAGGAUGCUGGACAUCGUCCCAGAGACAUGGGGACUCAAGAAACAUGAAGAUCUGUUCACAGCUAAGGGCACAUUUCCAUGCCGAGAAAUCGGGCAUGAGCGCAAGAGUCCUGUCGUCUACCAGAAAAAGAAAUCUUUGAGAGAACUGCAAUCCAAGCAAAUGUGGUGGGUGUGAAGCUUUCAAGAAGUUGGGUCAAGAACAAGGACUGAAAGAGGAGCAU